rnacentral:rRNA from 1 species
CUUGACUAACCAUAAGAGGUCCAGCCUGCCCAGUGACUCUGUUCAACGGCCGCGGUAUCCUAACCGUGCGAAGGUAGCGUAAUCACUUGUUCUUUAAAUGAGGACUAGUAUGAAUGGCACCACGAGGGCUACACUGUCUCCUUUUUUUAAUCAGUGAACUUAAUCUUCCCGUGAAGAAGCGGGAAUAGACCUAUAAGACGAGAAGACCCUAUGGAGCUUAAAACAACAUAGCACUUGCCACAUAACACAAAAAUUUCUGAAUACCCUAACUCUUCAAAGCAACAUGACUAUAAGUUUUUGGUUGGGGUGACCGCGGAGCAUAACACAACCUCCACGUUGAACGAACUUUAUUCUAAGCCACGAACCACGCUCCUAAGCAUCAAUACAUUGACAUUAAUUGACCCAAUAUACUUGACCAACGAAC